AUGAGGACACUGACUGGACCUUUUGCCCUGUGCUUGUGGCGGCAGCUGAACUGUGUGAGCAGAGGAGAGCAGCUGGAGCAGCAGCCUUCUCUCCUGAGUGUCCAAGAGGGAGGAGGCAUCUUUAUCAACUGCACCUACAAAGCUACUGCUCCUUCUUUCUUCUCCUGGUACAAACAAGAGCCUGGGGCAGGUCUCCAGUUGCUUAUAAAAAUCCUUUCAAAUGUGGAUAGAAAAGAAGAACAAGGUCUCAUUGUCCUACUGAAUAAGAAGGACAAACGUCUCUCCCUGAACAUCACAGCUGCCCAUCCUGGGGACUCAGCCACAUACUUCUGUGCAGAGAGUGCACAGUGCUCCCCAGGCAAUCACUGCCUGACAUAA